UACGGGGGGGGCAAGCGUUGUUCGGAAUUACUGGGCGUAAAGGGCUCGUAGGCGGCCACCUAAGUCAGACGUGAAAUCCCCAGGCUCAACCUGGGAACUGCGUCUGAUACUGGAUGGCUUGAAUCCGGGAGAGGGAUGCAGAAUUCCAGGUGUAGCGGUGAAAUGCGUAGAUAUCUGGAGGAAUACCGGUGGCGAAGGCGGCAUCCUGGACCGGCAUUGACGCUGAGGAGCGAAAGCCAGGGGAGCAAACGGG
rnacentral:rRNA from 1 species